GAUGUUAGCAUUCUAAUGACAGAGUUGAUCAUUCCCUUUCAUAGAACAGGUAUGAAACACUCUUUUUGUAGUAUCUGGAAGUGGACAUUUUGAUCACUUUGAGGCCUAUGGUGAAAAAGGGAAUAUCAUCGCAUAAAAACUAGACAGAAGCAUUCUCAUAAACUUGUUUGUGAUGUGUGAACUCAACAAACAGAGCAGUUUUGAAACACUCUUUUUGUGGAAUCUGCAAGUGGAUAUUUGGAUAGCUUUGAUUGAACCUUUCUUUUGAUAGAGCAGUUUUGAAACACUCUUUUUGUGUAAUUUGCAUGUGGAUAUUUGGACAGCUUUGAGGAUUUUGUUGGAAACACGCCUUUUGUCAUAUCUGGAAGUGUCCAUUUGGAGUGCAUUCAGGCUUGUGUUGAAAAAG
rnacentral:lncRNA from 1 species